rnacentral:lncRNA from 1 species
GCGACACUUCAAGCCUAAUUACAGCUGAACAAGUGACUGCGCCCCCAGUUUGACUCGAGGCUUCAGUCGAGGGAGGAUUUUUGAACAGCAGGGCUUCAGUUAGAGAGCGUAAUUGAAUGGCGAUAGCUCCCCUCUUUGAAAAAAGAAGCAAGAUCUUGGUGGGUUAUCAAACUUAUGUCAAAUCAACAGGAGUUGUCGCUGGCUUCUUGAUGGGUUGACGUUUCGUAGGGCUUAUGGUGUUAU